rnacentral:misc_RNA from 1 species
GAUGAAGAACGUAGCAAAAUGCGAUAAGUAAUGUGAAUUGCAGAAUCCAGUGAAUCAUCGAAUCUUUGAACGCACAUUGCGCCCGCCAGCAUUCUGGCGGGCAUGCCUGUUCGAGCGUCAUUUCAACCCUCGACCUCCCUUUGGGGAAGUCGGCGUUGGGGACCGGCAGCACACCGCCGGCCCUGAAAUGGAGUGGCGGCCCGUCCGCGGCGACCUCUGCGUAGUAAUCCAACUCGCACCGGAACCCCGACGCGGCCACGCCGUAAAACACCCAACUUCUGAACGUUGACCUCGAAUCAGGUAGGACUACCCGCUGAACUUAAGCAUAUCAAUAAGCGGAGGA